GACAGAGGGGGCAAGCGUUGCUCGGAAUUACUGGGCGUAAAGGGCGCGUAGGCGGGCUGGCAAGUCGGUCGUGAAAUCCUUCGGCUCAACCGAAGAACGUCGAUCGAUACUGCUGUUCUUGAGGGUUGCAGAGGAGACUGGAAUUCCCGGUGUAGCGGUGAAAUGUGUAGAGAUCGGGAGGAACACCGGUGGCGAAGGCGGGUCUCUGGGCAAUUCCUGACGCUGAGACGCGAAAGCGUGGGGAGCGAACAGG
rnacentral:rRNA from 1 species